UCUCUUCAGACGCAACUCUCUCCCUCUCGUAAUCUCUCUUCGUACUCAUACAUCACCGGAAAUCGCUCCGCCGCGCCGGAGGCGGCGGAGCUUGACCAAAUGCGAGAUUAAAACACUCGACCGCACCUAUUUCCCUUACUCUCUUCGAAUCCUUAACUCUUUUCCACCGAUUCAAACUCACCCUCCCCUAAUCGGACCAAACAGCAAACCCUAGAUCUAGGUAGAAAUCAAAUCGAAGGCUAAUGACUACGAAUCAUAGAUCAAGGUCAUGGGGGAAUUGCUCAGGAAUACUAGUACUACACCAUAUCAUCUAGAAAACAGAAAAAUAUGGAGGUGGAGACGGUGACGAAAACUUACCUGGAUGAAGAAGAUGACGAAUCGUUGAGGAAAACCGGAUGGGAGAAUCAAAUGCUCGCAAUUGAUGAAUUCUUCAGGUUUUCUUUGAUUUUACUAUUAGCAAAAGAAUGUAGCAGAGAUGUGUAGCGUGGCUCUUCUGUUCCAAAGAAGAAGCGGAAGACAAUACUUUACAUGAACCUUCAAGUGGAUUCCCUUCCACAUCAGAAAAAUAUAUGCUUUUGACGAAUCUCCUGACGUUAACUUGAUCAAGGCCAUGAGAGCAGCUUCUUGCUCACUUCCUGAUGUUGUGGAAUUUUGAACAUGGCAUUGUAGGUGGUGAUGCAGCUGACUACAAAUUGAUUAUGCAUUGUGUUGGCUGCAAGUUCUGAAUUCUGGACCUGUUAAUUAGGAAUGUAUGGAUGCUGAAUUUUUUUGAAUGCUGCAGGUUUGAAAAGGCAAGGAGGUCAACAAGAGGAAUGGAUUGAUUAAUGUGUUUGGAGCAUGCUGAAGCUGGAAGUGACGUAGAAAAGAAUGAAGCAAUUAGUUUAAGAAUAGCUUAAACUUUAAUGUACUAUGGUUUUUUUUUUGUAACAAAACAUGAUUCAUCUCUCUCCUUUUUUGUAAAUAUUUUGUAACAUGUCUCUAUGCUUGGAAGUGUUUGUAAUAAAAUUGGAUUGUGAUUUGUUAUGUAGCUUUUGAAUGAAUGACAAACUUGUGUGAUA